GCCUUUUGGGGGCUGCUUUAACAUGCAAGUCGAACGGUAACAGGGUGCUUGCACCGCUGACGAGUGGCGAACGGGUGAGUAAUGCAUCGGAAUGUACCGUGUAAUGGGGGAUAGCUCGGCGAAAGCCGGAUUAAUACCGCAUACGCCCUGAGGGGGAAAGUGGGGGACCGAAAGGCCUCACGUUAUACGAGCAGCCGAUGUCUGAUUAGCUAGUUGGUGGGGUAAAGGCUCACCAAGGCGACGAUCAGUAGCGGGUCUGAGAGGAUGAUCCGCCACACUGGGACUGAGACACGGCCCAGACUCCUACGGGAGGCAGCAGUGGGGAAUUUUGGACAAUGGGCGCAAGCCUGAUCCAGCCAUGCCGCGUGUCUGAAGAAGGCCUUCGGGUUGUAAAGGACUUUUGUCCGGGAGCAAAUCCCAGUGGUUAACACCUACUGGGGCUGAGAGUACCGGAAGAAUAAGCACCGGCUAACUACGUGCCAGCAGCCGCGGUAAUACGUAGGGUGCAAGCGUUAAUCGGAAUUACUGGGCGUAAAGCGUGCGCAGGCGGUUGUGCAAGUCUGAUGUGAAAGCCCCGGGCUUAACCUGGGAACGGCAUUGGAGACUGCACGACUAGAGUGCGUCAGAGGGGGGUAGAAUUCCGCGUGUAGCAGUGAAAUGCGUAGAGAUGCGGAGGAAUACCGAUGGCGAAGGCAGCCCCCUGGGAUGACACUGACGCUCAUGCACGAAAGCGUGGGGAGCAAACAGGAUUAGAUACCCUGGUAGUCCACGCCCUAAACGAUGUCAACUAGCUGUUGGGGGUUUGAAUCCUUGGUAGCGAAGCUAACGCGAGAAGUUGACCGCCUGGGGAGUACGGCCGCAAGGUUAAAACUCAAAGGAAUUGACGGGGACCCGCACAAGCGGUGGAUGAUGUGGAUUAAUUCGAUGCAACGCGAAAAACCUUACCUGGUCUUGACAUGUAACGAACGCUGCAGAGAUGUGUGGUGCCCGAAAGGGAGCGUUAACACAGGUGCUGCAUGGCUGUCGUCAGCUCGUGUCGUGAGAAUGUUGGGUUUAAGUCCCGCAACGAGCGCACCCUUGCCAUUAGUGCCAUUCAUAGUUGGCACUCUAAUGGGACUGCCGGUGACAACGGAGAGUGGGGAAUGACGUCAAGUCUCAUGCCUUAUGACCAGGCCUUUCACACGUCCAUAACCAAUUG
rnacentral:rRNA from 1 species